UUCCUGGUGGCUUAGAUGGGAAAGAAUCUGUCUUCAAUUCAGGAGACCCAGGUUCAAUCCCUGGGUUGGGAA
rnacentral:tRNA from 1 species